UACGUAGGGUCCAAGCGUUAAUCGGAAUUACUGGGCGUAAAGCGUGCGCAGGCGGUUGUGUAAGUCAGAUGUGAAAUCCCCGGGCUCAACCUGGGAAUUGCAUUUGAGACUGCACGGCUAGAGUGUGUCAGAGGGGGGGUAGAAUUCCACGUGUGAGCAGUGAAAUGCGUAGAGAUGUGGAGGAAUACCGAUGGCGAAGGCAGCCCCCUGGGAUAACACUGACGCCUCAUGCACGAAAGCGUGGGGAGCAAACAGGA
rnacentral:rRNA from 1 species